rnacentral:misc_RNA from 1 species
UCCGGUUUGGCACCGGCAGUCUCUCUAGAGUCCCCGACUUGACUCGCUGGCAACUAACAACAGGGGUUGCGCUCGUUAUAGGACUUAACCUGACACCUCACGGCACGAGCUGACGACAACCAUGCAGCACCUUGUAAAUUGUCCGAAGAAAAAACUGUUUCCAGUCCUGUCAAUCUACAUUUAAGCCUUGGUAAGGUUCCUCGCGUAUCAUCGAAUUGAACCACAUGCUCCGCUGCUUGUGCGGGCCCCCGUCAAUUCCUUUGAGUUUUAGCCUUGCGGCCGUACUCCCCAGGCGGGGCACUUAAUGCGUUAGCUUCGGCACGGGAGGAGUCGACACCUCCCACACCUAGUGCCCAUCGUUUACGGCGUGGACUAC